GACGAACGCUGGCGGCGUGCUUAACACAUGCAAGUCGAGCGGAAAGGCCACUUCGGUGGUACUCGAGCGGCGAACGGGUGAGUAACACGUGAGUAAUCUGCCCCCCACUUUGGGAUAGCC
rnacentral:rRNA from 1 species